rnacentral:rRNA from 1 species
GAUGAACGCUGGCGGCGUGCCUAAUACAUGCAAGUCGAGCGAACGGAUGAGAAGCUUGCUUUUCUGAUGUUAGCGGCGGACGGGUGAGUAACACGUGGAUAACCUACCUAUAAGACUGGGAUAACUUCGGGAAACCGGAGCUAAUACCGGAUAAUAUUUUGAACCGCAUGGUUCAAAAGUGAAAGACGGUCUUGCUGUCACUUAUAGAUGGAUCCGCGCUGCAUUAGCUAGUUGGUAAGGUAACGGCUUACCAAGGCAACGUUGCAUAGCCGACCUGAGAGGGUGAUCGGCCACACUGGAACUGAGACACGGUCCAGACUCCUACGGGAGGCAGCAGUAGGGAAUCUUCCGCAAUGGGCGAAAGCCUGACGGAGCAACGCCGCGUGAGUGAUGAAGGUCUUCGGAUCGUAAAACUCUGUUAUUAGGGAAGAACAUAUGUGUAAGUAACUGUGCACAUCUUGACGGUACCUAAUCAGAAAGCCACGGCUAACUACGUG